rnacentral:rRNA from 1 species
UACUACGGGAGGCAGCAGUGGGGAAUCUUGGACAAUGGGGGCAACCCUGAUCCAGCCAUGCCGCGUGAGUGAUGAAGGCCUUAGGGUCGUAAAGCUCUUUCGCCUGUGAAGAUAAUGACGGUAGCAGGUAAAGAAACCCCGGCUAACUCCGUGCCAGCAGCCGCGGUAAUACGGAGGGGGUUAGCGUUGUUCGGAAUUACUGGGCGUAAAGCGCACGUAGGCGGAUCGAAAAGUUGGGGGUGAAAUCUUGGGGUUCAACCCCGGAAUUGCCUCCAAAACUAUCCGUCUAGAGUUCUAGAGAGGUGAGCGGAAUUCCCAGUGUAGAGGUGAAAUUCUUAAAUAUUCCGAGGAAAAACAAGGGCCAAGGCUGCCCCACUGGCUCGAAACUGACCCUAAGGCGCGAAACUGCUCGGGAGCAAAAAGGAAUCACACCCCCCG